rnacentral:rRNA from 1 species
AUCCAUGCAAGUCGAACGGUAACGGGCCUUCGGGUGCCGACGAGUGGCGAACGGGUGAGUAAUGCAUCGGAACGUACCUUUCAGUGGGGGAUAACGUAGCGAAAGUUACGCUAAUACCGCAUAUUCUGUGAGCAGGAAAGCAGGGGAUCGCAAGACCUUGCGCUGAUUGAGCGGCCGAUGUCAGAUUAGCUAGUUGGUGAGGUAAAGGCUCACCAAGGCGACGAUCUGUAGCGGGUCUGAGAGGAUGAUCCGCCACACUGGAACUGAGACACGGUCCAGACUCCUACGGGAGGCAGCAGUGGGGAAUUUUGGACAAUGGGGGCAACCCUGAUCCAGCCAUGCCGCGUGAGUGAAGAAGGCCUUCGGGUUGUAAAGCUCUUUCGGCCGGGAAGAAACUGCAUGGGUUAAUACCCUGUGCGGAUGACGGUACCGGCAUAAGAAGCACCGGCUAACUACGUGCCAGCAGCCGCGGUAAUACGUAGGGUGCGAGCGUUAAUCGGAAUUACUGGGCGUAAAGCGUGCGCAGGCGGUUUUGUAAGACAGGCGUGAAAUCCCCGGGCUCAACCUGGGAACUGCGCUUGUGACUGCAAGGCUAGAGUACGGCAGAGGGGGGUGGAAUUCCACGUGUAGCAGUGAAAUGCGUAGAGAUGUGGAGGAACACCAAUGGCGAAGGCAGCCCCCUGGGUCGAUACUGACGCUCAUGCACGAAAGCGUGGUAGCAAACAGGAUUAGAUACCCUGGUAGUCCACGCCCUAAACGAUGUCAACUAGGUGUUGGGUGGGUAAAACCAUUUAGUACCGUAGCUAACGCGUGAAGUUGACCGCCUGGGGAGUACGGCCGCAAGGUUAAAACUCAAAGGAAUUGACGGGACCCGCACAAGCGUGGAUGAUGUGAUUAAUUCGAUGCACGCGAAAAAC